CGUAUCCAACCUGCCCACCACUUGGGGAUAACCUUGCGAAAGUAAGACUAAUACCCAAUGAUAUCUCUAGAAGACAUUUGAAAGAGAUUAAAGAUUUAUCGGUGAUGGAUGGGGAUGCGUCUGAUUAGCUUGUUGGCGGGGUAACGGCCCACCAAGGCAACGAUCAGUAGGGGUUCUGAGAGGAAGGUCCCCCACAUUGGAACUGAGACACGGUCCAAACUCCUACGGGAGGCAGCAGUGAGGAAUAUUGGUCAAUGGACGAGAGUCUGAACCAGCCAAGUAGCGUGCAGGAUGACGGCCCUAUGGGUUGUAAACUGCUUUUAUAAGGGAAUAAAGUGAGUCUCGUGAGACUUUUUGCAUGUACCUUAUGAAUAAGGACCGGCUAAUUCCGUGCCAGCAGCCGCGGUAAUACGGAAGGUCCGGGCGUUAUCCGGAUUUAUUGGGUUUAAAGGGAGCGUAGGCCGGAGAUUAAGCGUGUUGUGAAAUGUAGACGCUCAACGUCUGCACUGCAGCGCGAACUGGUUUCCUUGAGUACGCACAAAGUGGGCGGAAUUCGUGGUGUAGCGGUGAAAUGCUUAGAUAUCACGAAGAACUCCGAUUGCGAAGGCAGCUCACUGGAGCGCA
rnacentral:rRNA from 1 species